rnacentral:tRNA from 1 species
CACCCGAUGACUGAAAGUAAGUAUAGAUCUUUUAAAUCUAUCAUAGUAGUUAACGUUUACUUCAGGUGA